CAUCCUUUUCACCCUGCAGUACACACGCCCCCAUCCCCAUCUUUCCCUUUCCUCUUCACUCAAAUCUCAUUUCAAAUUUCAAACUCAUUUUUCUCUUUCUUCAUUCUCCUUCUCAAAGGGUUUCUGAAUCUGGAUCUGCUCUCUUCCCAAUUCACACACCUCCUCCAUGAAAGUGUCGAAGAUCAAUUGGAAGAUGAUGAUUUCCAAAGUAAUUGGCAAAUGAAGUAUCUAACCCCGUUUAAUUUUUGGUCGCAACUCACCUGAACCGUCAUGGAAGUUACGUGAUGUGGAAAAUCCGUCUUCAAAAAACAUAAAAAAAUCGAGAGAUUAGGAUGUAGAGAGGUACAAUAGAGACCGUGAAGAUCAGAUUAAGAUUGAUAGAAGCCGAUUUGGGUUUUAUGUUCUAUAAAAGCCAAUUCAGAAGCCACGACAAUUUCUCUUCUUCAACGUAAUUGUCGCCCAAUUAUUUCUCGGAUCUUCUGGUAUUUACAAAGCAGAGUUGGCUAGAUCGUCUGCUUCAACAUCAACUGUUCCGAGAGUGGAUUUUAUGGAUAAAAGGCAAGAAUGUUUUCUGAUCAAAAUGUAGGAAAAUUGUUGAAGAAGAAAACAUGUGUGAGGUAGGUUGGUUGGAUUCUAACGAUGAGGUAGCUAAAUCUCGGGAAAAGUUUGAUUUUGUUAAGAAGAGGUUUCUUAAGAAUCAACAUUUUGGAAGCUUUGGAGAGAAUGCCUAAAACGAAUCCCAAAGGUAUACGCAUUCAUUUGUAUAUUAGUUUGAGUUGGUAUAGACUUUUACAAGCUUUUAAAUGUGAUUUGCAUUUUUUGUGAAGUUCGGGUAUAUACAUUAAUAAGAACCUUAGAUUAGACAACAUACAAGUUUAUGGUUUUAACUAUGACUAUCUAUACUUUACUUUGGCGCAUUACUUUCCUAGAUUACAAAACUUGAUCUAUGAGGGAACUAGGCUUGUAUUUGGCAGUUUCCCUUUUUCACUUGGUAUUUGAGCGACAAUCAUGCGAUGACUAAGAAAGAGUUGAAUUAGUAAAGGAUACGAAGAGGCGUUAUGGACGGGUUUUUCAAUCGGGGUUGUCUUACAAAAAGAACUACCAUUCUACCGGAUAGUGUCAUUCCGUUCAAUUGGUGUUACCAUUCUACCAAUCUGUCUCACAAACUCAAGUCAUAGCUUCCAAUUGAAAUCGAUUCACGAUUCAAGCAGGUUUCUUUUCAAGAUAGGAGGACCGGGGGCUAAUUCCUAGCUUGAUACCUACAACAUUUAUUUUAGAUUGGAUGAUCGAUUCAAUCAUAACAAUAGCUCUGUUUCCAAUAACCAAUUGGUCAUGGGCCUUGGUGGAAAUUAGACAAGAAGGAAAAUAGGUGGAAAUAAGACACGAGGGAAAAUGAUGAUAUCUAUCUUUUAUUCUACUUGCUGGAUUUUGUGGAGAGCACGUAAAGAUGUUUACAAGGAGAUAUUACGAGAUUUAUGAAUUUUUUUGUAUAUUUUUUGAGUUUUAAUAUAUAUUAACUUUUUGUAUAUCUUUUUAAUAUAUAUGUGGGUCGCGCGCGAACCCAUGCAAAGUAACUACAACAUGGUUUGGAUUUAGACGUAUAUGGAAAGGAAACAACCGAGUAACUACUACAUGGUUUGGAUUCAAUAUCACAUUCCAGACACAACAUCCCAAAUACUUGAUAGUGAUGGAUGAAAGUUUGCAUUACACAAGAUUGAUGGUAUGUUUGCAUUGUAAAGUCAAGUAUGAUGGUUGAAAAAGUCAACCAGUCCUAUAUAUUAUUUAUGCAUCUAUGAAUAACACUAUUGGAGGAACACUUGGUUAAACAUUUCCAAAGAUAUUAGGAGGCAGAAAUGCUUAGGCGGCCAAUUGGUAGUAUUGUAUUGUAUUUUUGGACCAUUGAAAUUUCAACUUCCUUCAUUGCAUAUGUUAAGCAAGAAGUUGGGGUUCAGUUUUUUAAGAUUCUUUUGAUGAUCAUGUUAACGAAUAUGAUCAACUUU